ensembl:lncRNA
UUUAAUCAUGAUAAUCAUCACAAAAGCUCCUACAAAGCACUGAUUAUGCAUAUUAUCAGUAGUGUUUUUAGAAUAAAGUCUUAUCUGCAUGUUUUCUUAAUUUUCAGGUUGAGAAAUCGAAGAUCUCGUCUCUUUUGUCUCUGAAGUCCGUCCGUGGAGCAGAAUGAUCACCAGGAGAAGAGGCCGUGCCAUCAGCAGAGCAGAACGUGGAGUCUGUGGAAGUUGAGGUGGUGGAUGCUGUGGAAAGUGUCGAAGGACCUGCGAAUCCACCUGAAGAUUCCCUGCUGACGACAUCGAUACCACCGGCCUGGAUGAGCUCAACGACCUGUUUGGAAUUGAAGACCUGAAAUGGACAUUAGACAAAGAUUUCCUCGUCUCCACUCUUCAAUAUGGAGUUUGGCGAUCUUGAGGGGUACAGCAUGAGAGGGGAACGAGUCUGAGCUUGAAGCCUCUACAGCCUAGUCUUCCUGAGAGGAUUGUAUGCCUGAAUCUAAGCCGAAGACCAGACAGCGCCAGUCGAACCACGGGAUCAACAAGAAUGCCAUCGCUGCCAGAUUGAACCGUUGAAGAAGAAGGAAUACGUUAGCAAGCCUAGAGAGGAAAGUUGGCAGUCUGGUGACAGAAAACGGUGCUUUGAGCAGGAAAACUGUCAGCUGACCAAGAGAGUAGAGGAACUAGAAGAUGAGACCAGGCGCCCAGCUCCAACGACCAUGGACUAUGCCCUUCCCAGGAAGCGCGUGGAAAGUGGAGGAGAAAGAGAAAUCUGGUGGAGUGUGUCUGCACGUGGACAAGAACCACGUCUCUGUGGAGUUCUGCACUAAGUGUGCAGAGAGCGCGAGCACGUCGCUCAAAAUUUUCUUCUAGGUAAAGAUUGAUCGUCCAUGUGGGAUGAGUGGCUUUCUGAACACCUUUACCUGCUUGACUUCAUGUGGAUUCUGCUGGUGGAAGGUGAAGAGGCUGGACAAGCUGCUGCCAUCGUGGCCUGGUAUUUUUUUAAAGGUAGUAUUGGUAACCAAUGGUAUAUGUGUCUUUUUUUUUUUCUUUUUUUUUUUUUUUCAACCAAUCCUCCACAGCACUGUAGCUGCACACGCUGUCAGCUCAUGAGCUUUUCUGAGACCUGAAUAUCCAUCAGAGCAAUGCUAAGAUCCUCUUUAUGUCUGGUGUAAAUAUUUGAAUGUAUCUUGCAUCUACUCAGAACGAUCUGCUGUAAGGAAUUUUCCAGUUCUGAUCAAAUGUAACGCCAUGUAAAUGUUGUAUAUAUCUAAUUUUGAACAGAUUGUUUGAGUUAAUCAGCCUUCUGAGAAGCGUUGGACAAAUAAAUCCUAUUUUCAUUAUGUUUGAGAUAAACGUAUCUGCUGAGUCUUGUUCUGUACUGUUGAUAUUAAUGCUUCUCUUUUUCUCUCUCUGAACAGCAAGCUCUCUGCAGAUUAUCUGAACAUUUGGCUCAAGUCUGGUAACGGUUGUCAUAACGAAUCAUGAGCCCUCAUUUGACACGCAGUACAAAAACACACAGUCCUGGUUUCCAGCAGGUUACUGAGGGUUAGCAGCAGGUCAGUGAGGCUUUACAGCGGGUUACCAGGGGUCAGCAGCGGGUUAGUGAGGGUUUGAAGCAGGUUAGUGAGCCCAGCCUCAUUCAGUGUAGUUCCCUCUCGUGCUCCGACCAGUCUUUCUUGACAGAUACAUGCAGACGGUUCAGGUAAGCCUAUCAAUGCACACAAGUCUGAAACGCAGUCUGUCCAGUUUUACAGGAAACAUCUUGACUUUUGUCCAGUUUUCAGCUUCAGUUAAAGAUGCAGGGAAGUUUAUGAAACCUUUUAAAAAGUAUUUCUUCAGUAUAUAUUUUCUUACACCGAGUGCAACAAUUUCUCAUAUUCCCAAUAGAUUGUUGACUAAGCAAUAAUUAAAAAAAAUCAUUGUUGGGUUAUGAUUAGCAAGACAUUGAAGAGAUAUGAGGACUAUAAGGCUCAUUCAUCUGUCCUUCAGACUGGUUGCUCUUUAAAGGAGCACAGGCAGUUUGCUCGUUUUAUGCGAAACACUGACCCCUGCAGGCCUUAGGCCUAACUGUAGCUUAGUGAAAAGCUCGUGUCUGUGGCUUGCUGCCC